AGCAGAAUAACUCAUCCUCUCCCCAGAGAUGUCCGUUCUCUAAUCCGUGAAACGGGUGAACAUGUUACCUUCCAUGGCAAAAGGGACUUGGCAGAUGCAAUUAAGGUAUGGACCUUGAAUUGGGAAGAGUUCCCUAGAGUGUCCAGGUGGAUCCAAUAUAACUACAUGAGUUUUUAGAAGUGGAAGAGUAAGACAGAAGAGUGGGUCAGAGAGAUGCAACAACGGAAGAAGAGGAGGAGAAGUGGCAGCUUGAGAGAAACUCAACCCACUACUGCUGGCUUUAAAAAUGGAGGAAGAGGGCCAGGCGCGGUGGCUCAUGCUUGUAAUCCCAGCACUUUGGGAGGCAAAGUUGUGCGGAUCACGAGGUCAGGAGUUUGAGACAAGCCUGAUCAACAUGGUGAAACCCCAUCUCUAAAAAAAUACAAAAAUUAGCUGGGUGUAGUGGUGCGCGCCUAUAGUCCCAGCUGCUCAGGAGUCUGAGGCAGGGGAAUGGCGUGAACCCGGGAAGCGGAGCUUGCAGUGAGCCGAGAUCGCACCACUGCACUCCAGCCCGGGCAACAGAGUGAGACUCCAUCUCAAAAGAAAAAAAAAAGAAAGAAAAUGGAGGAAGGAGACCCACCAUGAGCCAAGGAAUGCAGAUGGCUUCUCAAAGCUGAGAACAGUCCUUAGCUGAUAGCCAGAGCAAGAUAAUAAAGACCUCAGUUCUACAAUCACAAGGAACUGAAUUCUGCCAACAACCUGAAUGCACCAAGAGACAGACUCUUCCAAAGAUCCCUCAGAAAGAGACACAGACGUGCAGGUAUCUUGAUUUCAGCCUCACAGACACCCAUGUCAGACUUCUGACCUGCAGAACUCUAAGGUAGAAGGAAAAGAAGACAAAAGAUGUACCAGAACUUCACUUUUUACCACUGACACGAGCUACUUCUUUGUUGAAUCAGGUCUAGACAACUAGCAAAACAAUAAAUCAAAUAAUGACUUCUAGCAUCAGCCAAUUUCUGCAACCAUGAUAUCCGUGAAGGCAGAGCUGGGAAAAGAAGAGCCGUAGCAGCACACCAUAUUACAGUGUUUCUCCUAUUCAAAUACAAGAGAUCUAAAUUACCUCAAGGCCAUAGAAAACAGU